GGGGGUAGCUCAGUUGGUCAGAGCAGGGUGCUGAUAAUACCAAGGUUGUGGGUUCAAUCCCUGUAUGGGCCUUUCA